UACGUAGGGGGCAAGCGUUGUCCGGAAUUAUUGGGCGUAAAGGGCUCGUAGGCGGUUUGUCGCGUCGGGAGUGAAAACACCGGGCUUAACUCGGUGCUUGCUUUCGAUACGGGCAGACUAGAGGUAUUCAGGGGAGAACGGAAUUCCUGGUGUAGCGGUGAAAUGCGCAGAUAUCAGGAGGAACACCGGUGGCGAAGGCGGUUCUCUGGGAAUAUCCUGACGCUGAGGAGCGAAAGUGUGGGGAGCGAACAGG
rnacentral:rRNA from 1 species